rnacentral:rRNA from 1 species
CUAAGAAUAUUCCGCAAUGGACGGAAGUCUGACGGAGCGACGCCGCGUGGAUGAAGAAGGCCGAAAGGUUGUAAAGUUCUUUUGCUGGGGAAGAAUAACCGCAGGAGGGAAUGCCUGUGGGAUGACAAGAACCGGCGAAUAAGCCCCGGCCAACUACGUGCCAGCAGCCGCGGUAACACGUAGGGGGGCGAGCGUUGUUCGGAAUUACUGGGCGUAAAGGGCAUGUAGGCGGUUUGGAAAGCCUGGCGUGAAAGUCUGCAGCUUAACUGCAGGGGUGCGCUGGGAACUGCUGAGCUUGAGUGACGGAGAGGGAGCUGGAAUUCCUGGUGUAGGGGGUGAAAUCUGUAGAUAUCAGGAAGAACACCGAUGGCGAAGGCAAGCUCCUGGCCGAUGACUGACGCUGAGGUGCGAAAGUGUGGGGAUCAAAACAGGAUUAGAUACCCUGAUAGUCCACACAGUCAACGAUGUGCACUAGGUGCUGGGGCGGUAGCUUCGGUGCCGGAGCG